CGUUGUAGCUCAGCAGGCAGAGCAACUGACUUGUAAUCAGUAGGUCGGAGGUUCGAUUCCUCUCGACG
rnacentral:tRNA from 1 species